rnacentral:tRNA from 1 species
GGGCCGAUAGCUCAGGAGGCUAGAGCACACGGCUGAUAACCGUGAGGUCGGAGGUUCGAAUCCUCCUCGGCCCA